AAUCCAUGGAAGGGGGCCAGACUCCAGUCCAAGCAGGCAACUAAAUUGGCAAUAUCAGCCAUGUGGUUCUGGCUUUAGAGUCAUGAGGGAAACAGGGGUAAGGGCUUGUGGAAUCUUUCUCCACAGUUGAGGAAAACUGCUAAGACCAAGCAUAUGACAGACGUGUGUUCCAGCACCAUGCCUGUCAACCAUGAUGGUCAUGAAACCUCUGGAAAUACAGCCUUUCAUGAAAGAACCGCAUUGAAAUAAAUCACCAACGAGCAGAUAGAGCUGUUUAACGAAUAAGAAAGGCUUCAAGCCCUCCACCACCCGCUUCUUCAGACAAAAUUCUAGCUAUUCAUAUGGUUGGCAAGGCCCAGAAGAAAAUGACCCUUCUUCCUGGACUUAUUUGUGUUGAACACGACAAGGGACAUGGAUGCCUACAGAUCUAUGCUCUGGUGCAGAUGUACACGGGUGCAGGGUCAUGUACUGGAUCAUGGAUGACCAUCAAUCAUCACAGCCCUAAAGGAAAAUUAUUCUCCCUCCCCCAGCAGCUGUCAAUUUCAGAAGCUCCUCAAU